GGGGUUCGUACACAUGCAGUCGAGCGGAAGGCCACUUCGGGUGGUACUCGAGCGGCGAACGGGUGAGUAAAAAAAAAAGAAACUGCCCCUGGCUUUGGGAUAGCCACCGGAAACCGUGAUUAAAAACGGAUAUGACCGCUUCUCGCAUGAGUUGUGGUGGAAAGUUUUUCGGCCAGGGAUGUGCUCGCGGCCUAUCAGCUUGAUGGUGAGGUAACGGCUCACCAAGGCAUCGACGGGUAGCUGGUCUGAGAGGAUGAUCAGCCACACUGGGACUGAGACACGGCCCAGACUCCUACGGGAGGCAGCAGUGGGGAAUAUUGGACAAUGGGCGAAAGCCUGAUCCAGCCAUGCCGCGUGGGUGAAGAAGGCCUUAGGGUUGUAAACCCCUUUCAGCGGGGAAGAUAAUGACGGUAACCGGAGAAGAAGCCCCGGCUAACUUCGUGCCAGCAGCUUUUUUUAAUA
rnacentral:rRNA from 1 species